UACAGAGGGGGCAAGCGUUAUUCGGAAUUAUUGGGCGUAAAGGGCGCGUAGGCGGUCCGUCAAGUCUCUCGUGAAAUCCCCCGGCUUAACUGGGGACCUGCGGGAGAUACUGUCGGACUCGAGUCCGGAAGAGGGUGGUGGAAUUCCCAGUGUAGCGGUGAAAUGCGUAGAUAUUGGGAGGAACACCGGUGGCGAAGGCGGCCACCUGGGCCGGAACUGACGCUGAGGCGCGAAAGCGUGGGGAG
rnacentral:rRNA from 1 species